UUAUCAGCCUUGUUACAAGACUGUGCUAACAAGUUUGUUACAGCUAUGAUAUAACAAGGAUGUUACAAGGUUGUCAAAACAAGGUUGUAACAAUCUUGUCAUAUCAAGCAUGUAACAGACUUGUCAGAACAACCUUGCAACAAGUCUGAUAA